rnacentral:piRNA from 1 species
UUGCAGGGGAAAGUGCCCCAUUGUGGGUG